ACACAUGCAAGUCGAGGGGCAGCAUGAUUGAAGCUUGCUUCAAUUGAUGGCGACCGGCGCACGGGCGAGUAACGCGUAUCCAACCUUCCGUACACUCAGGGAUAGCCUUUCGAAAGAAAGAUUAAUACCUGAUGGUAUGAUGAGAUUGCAUGAUAGCAUCAUUAAAGAUUUAUCGGUGUACGAUGGGGAUGCGUUCCAUUAGGUAGUAGGCGGGGUAACGGCCCACCUAGCCUACGAUGGAUAGGGGUUCUGAGAGGAAGGUCCCCCACAUUGGAACUGAGACACGGUCCAAACUCCUACGGGAGGCAGCAGUGAGGAAUAUUGGUCAAUGGACGAGAGUCUGAACCAGCCAAGUAGCGUGAAGGAUGAAGGUCUUACGGAUUGUAAACUUCUUUUAUAAGGGAAUAAAACCUCCCACGUGUGGGAGCUUGUAUGUACCUUAUGAAUAAGCAUCGGCUAACUCCGUGCCAGCAGCCGCGGUAAUACGGAGGAUGCGAGCGUUAUCCGGAUUUAUUGGGUUUAAAGGGAGCGCAGACGGGUCGUUAAGUCAGCUGUGAAAGUUUGGGGCUCAACCUUAAAAUUGCAGUUGAUACUGGCGUCCUUGAGUGCGGUUGAGGUGUGCGGAAUUCGUGGUGUAGCGGUGAAAUGCUUAGAUAUCACGAAGAACUCCGAUUGCGAAGGCAGCACACUAAGCCGUAACUGACGUUCAUGCUCGAAAGUGUGGGUAUCAAACAGGAUUAGAUACCCUGGUAGUCCACACGGUAAACGAUGGAUACUCGCUGUUGGCGAUAUACGGUCAGCGGCUUAGCGAA
rnacentral:rRNA from 1 species